AUUUUUAAGAUAUUUGUGACAAUGUAUACAACGGUUUUGAAAACCGUCGCUGUAUGAUUCCUAAAAGAGGGAAUGAAAUUCAGUAUUGGCGGACAUUGAAAUUGGAUUCCCUUUGUUACAAAAAAAAAAAAUUAUUGGGGUCAAAAAGUAUUAAAAAAUAAAAAAUAAAAAAUACCCCUUUCAUGACUAAACCACUCAAAACGCAUAAUCAGUUCCUUCAAAACGCAAAAACGAAGAAACCCUCAUCUUACCGAGUCCUUCAACCACAAACGCAUAAUCGCAACCAGAGAAUCAAAAACGACGAAGCUAUGGAGUUCCAAGUCCUUCAACCACAAACGCCUCCAAAUUCCUGACUCGUUCCAAAUCUUCAUCCUUUUAGUCGCUUCAAAUCCCUAACAUGUUCUAAAUCCGUUAUAGUCGCUCCAAAUCCAAAUCCCUAACUCGUUCAUCGUGAAGAGAAAAAGAGAUGUCAUGAAGUGAUGUGACGGAGGCCGAAUAUGUGGUAGCACUAGGUUCACAGGUCUUUGGUUCUGUUACUUUGUUCCCCUCUUUCUCCGUUUCAACUCUGGAUAUCUUUCAUAGGUCAGAUUCGUGGGGCUUUCACUUUGUUGGUCAAGUUAAGAUGCUUUAUGCUAUUGUUAUCUGUUUCUCAAGUAAUAUUGUUGCUAACAACUUCAGAAUUUGGAGGAAAAAUGAGGCAGAUCUUGUAACAAUGUCUUGUGGAAGUUUCUUGUCACCACUUCAGAAAGGAAGGAGACCGAAAAAUUCUCGCAAUAUCCAACUCACCUUGGAACUCACAAAGUGCCUUAGUGGUAAAAUUUCAAUGUUGAAUCUUUCCAGGUAUGCAAUUUGAAACAAAUGAACAUUCAAUGCUUCUAUUCUUGUGUUGUUUGUUUGCUAUAUUAAAUUAUAGUUCUUUUCACUUUUUUUGUUUGGUUUCUUUGUUAGGAAGUGUUUCAUCAUUUGGUUAAUGGUUUUUCUUGGAUUUAGGAAUGCAAUUGUAAUAAUUGUGUGUAUAUAUGGAAUAUCCAUCCUGCAUCACUUCAUCAGGUUAUGGUAAACAUUGUCAAUAUUUGUCUAUAAUUUCUUGCAUUUUGAACCAGGUUUUCAUUGGGGUGGAAGGGGUAGUGCAAGCUUAAUCAUGUUAUGUUAAUUGUAGUCCUUGUAGAAUGAGGUGAAGACGACUAGUAACUAAAUGUUUGUUGGCUUGUGGUGGAUUUAGUUUCUUUUGUUAGUGAGAAGCCAAAACAAAAAAAAAUUGAAUUCCAAACAAAAAAUACUUUAAUACACUUAAACAAAAAGCAGGCAAAACAAAAAUAUGAGAAACUUGACUAAAACAUCGAGUUUCCCUUUCUUAGAGCAGAAUCUGAUUUAGUGUGCCUCCCUUUUGUUAGUCUGAAAUACUGAGUUUCCCCAAGUUUCUUAAUAGUUUUUUUUGUUGUCUCUUGUUCGAGGGGUUUGGUCAUUAAUGCAAUUCUUUACUUUACUCACACAUAUAGUGAUUGGAUUAACUGAAGAUAGAAGCAUUUCUCAUUUUGCGCAGCCAAUUUCUUAAGUCUGUUGCCAAUUUUUAACUCUGCUGCUGAUUUUGUAACUCUGCUGACGUUUUUGUAAUUGAAUGAGAAGAAUCAAGAGAUGAAUAAGGAUCAUGAAGCAACAUGACAUACUCUGGAUUAGUUUUUCUCCUUUUAGAGUUUCAAGUUAUUUAAUUAAAUUUUUUAUGUAUGGAUGUUGUCACUAUCAAAUUAAUUAUAUGAAUGAGAUUAAAUUAUUUA